rnacentral:rRNA from 1 species
GACGAACGCUGGCGGCGUGCUUAACACAUGCAAGUCGAACAAUGAAGAAGAGCUUGCUCUUCGGAUUAGUGGCGAACGGGUGAGUAACACGUGACUAACCUGCCCCUUUCUCUGGGAUAACGCUCAGAAAGGAGUGCUAAUACCGGAUACUCACAUCGAGGCACAUGCCUUGAUGUGGAAAGCUCUUCUGAAAGGGAUGGAGUCGCGGCCUAUCAGCUUGUUGGUGAGGUAACGGCUCACAAAGGCGACGACGGGUAGCGGGCCUGAGAGGGCGACCGGCCACACUGGGACUGGGACACGGCCAAGACUCCUGCGGGAGGCAGCAGUGGGGAAUAUUGCACAAUGGGCGAAAGCCUGCUGCAGCGACGCCGCGUGAGGGAUGAAGGUCUUCGGAUUGUAAACCUCUUUCAGUAGGGACGAAGCGAAAGUGACGGUACCUAAAGAAGAAGAACCGGCUAACUACGUGCCAGCCGCCGCGGUAA